GUAAGGAGCUAGCCGCCUAAGGUGGGACAGAUGAUUGGGGUGAAGUCGUAACAAGGUAGCCGUAUCGGAAGGUGCGGCUGGAUCACCUCCUUUCUAAGGA
rnacentral:rRNA from 1 species